GCUGGGCAUGGUGGUGCAUGCCUGUAAUCCCAGCAACUCAGGAGGGUGAGACAGGAGGAUAGAAAGUUUGUAGGCCAGCCUCAGCAAUUUACAGAGGCCCUAAACAACUUAUCAAGACCCUAUUUCAA
rnacentral:sRNA from 1 species